rnacentral:rRNA from 1 species
UAAGCGGAGGAAAAGAAACCAACAGGGAUUGCCUCAGUAACGGCGAGUGAAGCGGCAAAAGCUCAAAUUUGAAACCCUCGGGAUUGUAAUUUGAAGAUUUGGCAUUGGAGAAAGCUAACCCAAGUUGCUUGGAAUAGUACGUCAUAGAGGGUGACAACCCCGUCUGGCUAACCGUUCUCCAUGUAUUGCCUUAUCAAAGAGUCGAGUUGUUUGGGAAUGCAGCUCAAAGUGGGUGGUAAACUCCAUCUAAAGCUAAAUACUGGUGAGAGACCGAUAGCGAACAAGUACUGUGAAGGAAAGGUGAAAAGAACUUUGAAAAGAGAGUGAAAUAGUAUGUGAAAUUGUUGAUAGGGAAGGAAAUGAGUGGAGAGUGGCCGAGGUUUCAGCCGCCCCUCGUGGGCGGUGUACUGCCGACGCCGAGUCAUCGAUAGCGAGACGAGGGUUACAAAUGGGAGCGCCUUCGGGCGUUCUCCCCUAACCCUCCACACUGCCACCGACGACAUAAUCCACCCAUUUCACCCGUCUUGAAACACGGACC